CAGAGGUGGCAAGCGUUGUUCGGAAUUACUGGGCGUAAAGGGCGAGUAGGUGGCCAUCUAAGUCAGACGUGAAAUCCCCCGGCUUAACCUGGGAACUGCGUCUGAUACUGGACGGCUAGAGUUUGGGAGAGGGAUGCAGAAUUCCAGGUGUAGCGGUGAAAUGCGUAGAUAUCUGGAGGAAUACCGGUGGCGAAGGCGGCAUCCUGGACCAACACUGACACUGAAUCGCGAAAGCUAGGGGAGCAAACGGGAUUAGAUACCCCGGUAGUCCUAGCCCUAAACGAUGAAUGCUUGGUGUGGCGGGUAUCGAUCCCUGCCGUGCCGAAGCUAACGCAUUAAGCAUUCCGCCUGGGGAGUACGGUCGCAAGGCUG
rnacentral:rRNA from 1 species